rnacentral:rRNA from 1 species
UACAGAGGGGGCAAGCGUUGUUCGGAAUUACUGGGCGUAAAGGGCGCGUAGGCGGCCCGCUAAGUCGAACGUGAAAUCCCCGGGCUCAACCCGGGAACUGCGUCCGAUACUGGCAGGCUUGAAUCCGGGAGAGGGAUGCGGAAUUCCAGGUGUAGCGGUGAAAUGCGUAGAUAUCUGGAGGAACACCGGUGGCGAAGGCGGCAUCCUGGACCGGCAUUGGCGCUGAGGCGCGAAAGCCAGGGGAGCAAACGGG